rnacentral:lncRNA from 1 species
AACUUACCAAGAAAACGCUCUGUGAGAACAUAUCACGUAAUAACCGACCAAGUUUAUCUUACACCCCCACCCCCACCCCCAUUUCCUUAGCAGAAACAAGACUCUGCGUCCAGUUCUGAAGCUGGAAGCUUUGAACCCCUGAUCUCUAGAAAUUACCUAUGCCUGCAGUAUGUUUUUCUACGAGUGCUAUUCUGUGCUUAGACAGAGGAAUUUACUACUACAGUUAGAAGACCGUCUGCUCACAAGAGAGAUAAAUGGUAAAAUGGACCUUGUAUCCCCUUGCUUCCAGUCACUGGUCAAUGAGUCUUGUUAUGCUAAAACCAGAAGGCCUUUAGUGAGCGUACUGGCCGUGACCUCCUGGGCAAUCACAGAAAUGGCUUCAAUUUGCUGCUCUGACUCACAAUUCUAAGUGGCUGGGACAAACAGAGGAGAGCAUUUUGAAAAACCAUCUUAAGUGGUCUUUCUUUUUCCAUUCAGAGGACACAAACUGCUUUUCAUCUUUCUGUCGAACAGAGUGACAAUCCUAAGGUUCUCCCUGCCCAGCCCACACUGGUCCCUCUCUUCCCUCCCUCUCCUGGUCUUUUCAGGGCUGGUGCCUCUGAGGGUGUUCCACUCCAUGCUUCAGUGUGAAUAGCUUGUCAUCAGGUGCCUUUGACAGAUGCUUCAAACAAACAUUUGAGAGAGAAGAAAAGCAGAAGUCGGUGAUACAAAAUGAACAGGAAAUGAUAUGUAGGCUCAUUAUAUUUUGAAUGUGGGUUGUUUCCCCACAAACACACUCAGAUUUGUUUUUGUUUUUAUUUUUGGAUUUGUACUUCACUUAAGAAUUAUUUCUACCAUCCUGAUUCUGCAGCUGUUGGGCACCAGGGAAUGUGGUGUCCACAUCUUUUGGCCUCACUGGCCCACCACUAUUGAUGCUUUGGGGAAAAGAAGGACAGCACUUCCUCUUCCUGCCAUUGCAAAAAAAAAAAUUGAUUUUUGCCUGAAUCCCAAAUUGAACUUUUGUAGGUAAACUGCAAAAGUGGCCACAAACUCUUCCCCUCUCAUGUUCCUGUGAAGGGAUUUGUCCUCUUGCUGCCACAGGCCCUGCCAAAUGCACCUCAGCUAUCCUACAUGAUGAGAGAAGAGCCUGGUCACCACCGUCAUUAUCUGUGCCCAUCUUAUCAACUUUAAGCAGACUUGGAAGAACAUCUAGCCACGACCAACAAAAGAACUGCCUAGCUGAGCCGAGCCCAAACUGGAGAUUCCCGCUUGAGAGG